AACGGUCUAUACCUGCGGUACCUGCGGAAGGAUCAUUAACGCGCCGUGGAGGUUGCCUUUAAACAGGUCUGACCUUCCACCUGGCCACCCUUGUUUGUCUUUAACCUGUUGCUUUGGUGGGCCCGCUGCAAGGCCGCUGGAGAAUUUAAAAGUUUUCUGGCCCGUGCCCACCAAAGUCCUAGUGAACUCUUUGUUAAUUUUCUGCUGUCUGAGCAUUAAAAGAAACAAUUUUUAAAACUU
rnacentral:misc_RNA from 1 species